rnacentral:rRNA from 1 species
CAGUAGCCACGGUAAUACGGAGGGUGCAAGCGUUAAUCGGAAUUACUGGGCGUAAAGCGCACGCAGGCGGUUUGUUAAGUCAGAUGUGAAAUCCCCGAGCUUAACUUGGGAGCUGCAUUUGAAGCUGGCAAGCUAGAGUCUUGUAGAGGGGGGUAGAAUUCCAGGUGUAGCGGUGAAAUGCGUAGAGAUCUGGAGGAAUACCGGUGGCGAAGGCGGCCCCCUGGACAAAGACUGACGCUCAGGUGCGAAAGCGUGGGGAGCAAACAGGAUUAGAUACCCGCGUAGUCCCUGUCUCUUAUAC